rnacentral:rRNA from 1 species
ACGGGUGAGUAACGCGUGGGAACGUACCUUUUGGUUCGGAACAACUCCGGGAAACUGGAGCUAAUACCGGAUAAGCCCUUCGGGGGAAAGAUUUAUCGCCGAAAGAUCGGCCCGCGUCUGAUUAGCUAGUUGGUGAGGUAAUGGCUCACCAAGGCGACGAUCAGUAGCUGGUCUGAGAGGAUGAUCAGCCACACUGGGACUGAGACACGGCCCAGACUCCUACGGGAGGCAGCAGUGGGGAAUAUUGGACAAUGGGCGCAAGCCUGAUCCAGCCAUGCCGCGUGAGUGAUGAAGGCCUUAGGGUUGUAAAGCUCUUUUGUCCGGGAAGAUAAUAACUGUACCGGAAGAAUAAGCCCCGGCUAACUUCGUGCCAGCAGCCGCGGUAAUACGAAGGGGGCUAGCGUUGUUCGGAAUCACUGGGCGUAAAGCGCACGUAGGCGGACCAUUAAGUCAGGGGUGAAAGCCUGGAGCUCAACUCCAGAACUGCCUUUGAUACUGAUGGUCUCGAGUAUGGAAGAGGUUGGUGGAACUGCGAGUGUAGAGGUGAAAUUCGUAGA